CCUACGGGUGGCAGCAGUGAGGAAUAUUGGUCAAUGGCCGGAAGGCUGAACCAGCCAUGCCGCGUGAAGGUCAGUGCUCUAUGGGCGUUAAACUUCUUUUGUGCGGGAGCAAUAAUGGUCACGUGUGGCCAGACGAGAGUACCGUACGAAUAAGCAUCGGCUAACUCCGGGCCAGCAGCCGCGGUAAUACGGGGGAUGCAAACGUUAUCCGGAUUUAUUGGGGGUAAAGGGUGCGUAGGCUGUGAGGUAAGUCAGCGGUGAAAUGCCCCCGCUCAACGGGGUGAAGGGCCGUUGAUACUGGCUGGCUGGAAUGCGAAUGCCGUGGGAGGAAUGUGUGGUGUAGCGGUGAAAUGCAUAGAUAUCACACAGAACACCGAUUGCGAAGGCAUCUCAC
rnacentral:rRNA from 1 species